rnacentral:rRNA from 1 species
GAUGAACGCUGGCGGCGUGCCUAAUACAUGCAAGUCGAGCGAACAGACGAGGAGCUUGCUCCUCUGACGUUAGCGGCGGACGGGUGAGUAACACGUGGAUAACCUACCUAUAAGACUGGGAUAACUUCGGGAAACCGGAGCUAAUACCGGAUAAUCUAUUGAACCGCAUGGUUCAAUAGUGAAAGACGGUUUUGCUGUCACUUAUAGAUGGAUCCGCGCCGCAUUAGCUAGUUGGUAAGGUAACGGCUUACCAAGGCAACGAUGCGUAGCCGACCUGAGAGGGUGAUCGGCCACACUGGAAGUGAGACACGGUCCAGACUCCUACGGGAGGCAGCAGAAGGGAAUCUUCCGCAAUGGGCGAAAGCCUGACGGAGCAACGCCGCGUGAGUGAUGAAGGUCUUCGGAUCGUAAAACUCUGUUAUUAGGGAAGAACAAAUGUGUAAGUAACUAUGCACGUCUUGACGGUACCUAAUCAGAAAGCCACGGCUAACUACGUG